rnacentral:rRNA from 1 species
AGUGAGCGCUGGCGGUAGGCCUAACACAUGCAAGUCGAACGGCAGCACAGUAAGAGCUUGCUCUUACGGGUGGCGAGUGGCGGACGGGUGAGGAAUACAUCGGAAUCUACUUUUUCGUGGGGGAUAACGUAGGGAAACUUACGCUAAUACCGCAUACGACCUACGGGUGAAAGCAGGGGAUCUUCGGACCUUGCGCGAUUGGAUGAGCCGAUGUCGGAUUAGCUAGUUGGCGGGGUAAAGGCCCACCAAGGCGACGAUCCGUAGCUGGUCUGAGAGGAUGAUCAGCCACACUGGAACUGAGACACGGUCCAGACUCCUACGGGAGGCAGCAGUGGGGAAUAUUGGACAAUGGGCGCAAGCCUGAUCCAGCCAUACCGCGUGGGUGAAGAAGGCCUUCGGGUUGUAAAGCCCUUUUGUUGGGAAAGAAAAGCAGCAGGUUAAUACCCCGCUGUUCUGACGGUACCCAAAGAAUAAGCACCGGCUAACUUCGUG